CUCGUAGGCGGCCAACUAAGUCAGAUGUGAAAUCCCCAGGCUUAACCUGGGAACUGCAUCUGAUACUGGAUGGCUUGAAUCCGGGAGAGGGAUGCAGAAUUCCAGGUGUAGCGGUGAAAUGCGUAGAUAUCUGGAGGAAUACCGGUGGCGAAGGCGGCAUCCUGGACCGGCAUUGACGCUGAGGAGCGAAAGCUAGGGGAGCAAACG
rnacentral:rRNA from 1 species